GAGCCGAGAGUGAGUGCUGUGUAGAUAUAGACCAAGACCUUGUGUGGGCGUCAGACUCUGAGUCUGGAAGGAAGCCUCGCAACUAGAGACAGUCAGAAGCUAGGACUGAACAAAUUGCAACCGUUCUCAGCCGCAGACGGUGAUGUUAACUAUCUCACGCAUGACAGGACAGAUCACAUAGCACAUUCGCCACCGGUGAAGAAGGCGCGGAGAGAUUCGGAAAGUCAUCCGGAGAUAUUUAAAACCCACGAAUAGAGCCGCGUGCACAAGGAAGACCGGCACGCUGUGGAACCGUUUCUGCCUUUAUCCUGUUUUAAUUACUCUGUUCAAAUUUGCCGCCUUUCCACUAGUUCUGACCAGCCUUUUGUUCCCAAUUUAUCUGGACUGGUGUGGUUUGCCUUGAUAACUCCCUAAGCUUGGGGCUGAAAUAGUCAACACGGCGAAAAUAAAAUGUUGAUCAUUAA